rnacentral:lncRNA from 1 species
AACGUUGUUGUGUGGAUUCUAGUGCCGAUCCUAGGAGCACUCCUCAUUCUCUCUAUAUGCGCCGGGACAUUUGCCUACUAUCUACGCAAACGAAAACAAAUCAAUGGAAACAACAACUUGGAUGCUGAAACUGGAGAGAACUUGUCCAUCUUUAGCUAUGAUGGCAAAGUCAAAUACCAAGAGAUCAUAAACUCAACCAAAGAAUUCGAUCCAAAAUACCUAAUCGGAACCGGAGGAUACGGCAAAGUAUACAAAGCAAACCUCCCAGGCGCAACCGUAGCAGUGAAAAAGCUACACCAAACAAUGAACGAAGAGAUAUCAAAGCCAGUGGUGAAGCAAGAGUUCCUAAACGAAGUAAGAGCCUUAACAGAGAUCCGUCACCGCAACGUGGUGAAGCUCUUCGGCUUCUGCUCUCACCGCCGCCACACUUUCCUGAUCUACGAGUACAUGGAAAAAGGAAGUUUAAACAAACUGUUAGCUGAUGACAAAGAAGCGAAACGACUCAAUUGGACCAAAAGGAUCAAUAUAGUGAAAGGUGUGGCGUACGCGUUAUCGUAUAUGCACCAUGACAGAUCAACUCCGAUCGUCCACCGUGAUAUUAGCAGCGGCAACAUCCUUCUCGAUAACGAUUACAAAGCUAAGAUCUCCGAUUUCGGUACAGCGAAGCUUCUCAAGAUGGAUUCCUCAAAUUGGUCCGCCGUCGCCGGAACCUAUGGCUAUGUCGCUCCAGGUAUAUCUAAAUCAAUGAAAUUGAAAUCUUUAAAAUCGAUUUCGAGCUUAUGAAAUUGAAAAUUUCUGAACAGAAUUGGCUUACGCGAUGAAGGUGACGGAGAAAUGCGAUGUGUAUAGCUUCGGAGUAUUGACGCUGGAAGUGAUAAAGGGGAAACAUCCGGGAGAUUUGGUUUCGGCUUUGUCAUCGUCGUCUCCGGGAGAAACUCCGUCGCUGAGAAGCAUUUCCGAUGAGCGUUUAGGAGAACCAGAGGCGAAGAUUAGAGAGAAGUUAGUGAAGAUGGUGGAAAUGGCGUUGUCGUGCUUACAAGCAGAUCCAAUGUCUCGGCCAACAAUGUUGUCAAUUUCAACGGCAUUCACCUAAAAACUUAUAAUAUAAGGUUUUUACAAUUAAAAUAAAACACAAAGUUAAACACAUGAUAAAUUAUGUGAUUAAUAAAUAUUAAUAUAGUUAUGCUAUUUUAGCCAAACGUUUGAGUUUUACUAGAGUUAUAAUUAUGGCUGCGUAAUGUGAAUAUACUAAAUCUUGUAGUUGUUUUGCUUUGGCUGAAUAAUAUUUUGUUUAAAAUUAUGUUAUAAAUAAUUAUUACUAUAGUUUAUAACAUGUAGUCAUCUCUUAAAUAUUUUUUAAUAUCAAUUUGAUUAUUUGUUUUUGUGAAAGAUGGAAGUAUGUGUAAUGUGUUCAUCAAUGCAAUUUCGAUUUGUAUUCGAAAGUUUUAAACUUUUAACUGUUUUGGAGAAAUAGACCUUUUUUUAGUCUGUUUUAUUAUAUACUAGUCAGUUUUCUGCGUUACGCGUGUGAGGUCUAUUAUAUUGUUUAUGAGUAAUUGGUUCAUAUUUUAUUUUUUAUUUAUUUUUCACUUUAACAUAUUUUUUUUUAAUCUUAGAUUGUGAUUGUAUAGAAAACAUGUUGAGUUUUAGCUUCAUUAGUAGUUGACAAAUUAAAUGUGUAUAAUAUUUAAUAAAAUGAACUAAAUAAAGAAAUAUAUGUGGUUUAAACAGAAGUAUGGUGGAGAAUCAUAAAGAAACAUGUGUUAUUAGGGUUCCUACCAAAUACUUAUUUACAUAUGUCUAAAUCUAAAAUUAAAUGAUAAAAUUAUAUAAAUAAUUUUUAAAAUUAAAUAAUAAAAUGAGGUGGAUGAUGAUUAGGAUGAUGAGGUGGCUUAAGGAGGAGAGAGCAAAGUUAACUUUAUAUAUAGAUAUAUUCGUUUCUGAUUUUUUGUUUAAUAUAUUUUCUGUAUUUUCAUAUGGAACAAUUUUAAAAUUUAACAUAGUAGUAUAAUUUACUUUAUAUUUAGUUCAUUUCAUUUAAUUAUGUUUUUUUACUUUUUAAUUUUUAUGAAAUAUUGUUAAUUUUUUAUUUUGUUUAUUAGUUUACCAUAUAUGAUGUAUUGAAAACAAUUAGUUGAAUUCAUAUUGGAAACCUUUUAAAGAAAUAUUAUUUUUAUUGUUACCAUUUUUAUACGUGUUUUUAAAAUGAGAAUUCAUGUUUUGUCCCAACCUAUCUCUUUUAUGUUGGAGAAUUUUGAAUUUUUUGAGACAUAAAUUACACAAAUCAUAAUAUUAUUUUUAAUGAAUAUAUAUAUAUUCAUUAUUUUUUGUUUUAUUCCCGUUAAAUCCCAUUAUAAUUUAGGUUUAUAUUGUGUAAAUAUAAUCAAAUUUUGUGUCAUAUUAUUUUUAAUUGAUAUAUAUAUAUAUAUAUUCAUUCUAAAAUAUUUACUUAAAAACUAUAAGCUAUUAUUUAUAUAUUAGUUCGUAUUAUCAAUAAUUAGUAAGUUUUUUAAUCAAUUAUUAUUUUUAGUUUUAUAAUAUAAAAUAUAAGAAAAGACCUUUCAUAUUUCUUUUAGAAAACUUAUUUACAUAUGUCUAAAUCUUAAAACUAAAUGAUAAAAUGAUAUAAUUAAUUUUUAAAAUUAAAUAAUAAAAUGAGGUGGAUGAUGAUUAGGAUGAUGAGGUGGCUUAAGGAGAAGAGAGCAAAGUUAACUUUAUAUAUAUAGACUAGCAGUUGACCCGCGCUGCGCGCGGAAGGUUUAUAUAUAUUUUUGUGAUAUUUUAUUUAUUUUAACUGAUUUUCAAAACAUAUUAUAGUUAUUUUCUCUUGAAUUAUUAUCUUUCAAUAUUUAAAUUUGGAUUAAAAUCAUUUUCUUUUUCAUCAAGUUAUAAAUUAAUAUUUCGCUUUCAAUUUUAUUUUUCCCCUUUAAGAUUUUAUAUGUACAAUUACAUAAAUGUUGUUUUUAUUCUACCAUAAAUUGAAAAUUUACUUACAUUCUUAAAGUCAGUAACACAUUUAAAAUUUUAAACUAUGAUCAAUUUAAAAUGAAAGUUGAAUUAUAUUAUUACCACUAACUAAUAUAAAAUGAAAGUAUUUCUUAUUUAACAUUUCAUUUAUUUACAUAAUUUAUUUUUAUUUAUAUAAAUUUUCUAUUAAUUAAAUAAGUAGCAUAAAUAUGCACUAAAUGAAUGUUUUAAAUUUAUUUUAAUGUAGAAAAAAUGUGGUUUAUGUGGAUGCUUAGGUGGCAUCAUGAGAAGAGAGAAAAAGCUAACUUUAUAUAUAUAUAUUACUGCACAAUGAAUAUUAUAAUCAACCGAAUGUUCUAACGUAUAUAAGAGCAUGAUUAAUGGUAGGCUUUUAGCCUUAAGGUUUUGUUAAGAAAAACUUUUAACCAACUUCGUAAACCUCAACCUCUAUAACAAUUUUUUUUUGGGUCCACUUCCUUCUCAGAUUGGAAACUUACCCAACCUUGUUAAGGUAGGCCUUAGUACAAACAUUUUGUAAAUUUCACCCACUUCCAUUGGAAAUUUCACCAACUUGGUAAAACUUAAUCUCUAUAUCAGUUCUUCCUCGGGUCCACUUCUUUCUGAGUUUGGAAACUUAGUUGAGCUGGAUUUGUCUAGCAACAACCUCACAUGUGAACUUCCAUAAGAAAUUGAAAAUCUCGCAGGUUAUUCGAAGCUACUACUAAAUGGGAAUCCACUAUCAGGAAGAGUUCCUACAUUUCUAAGUUUCUUAACCAAUCUCGAGGUUCUUGAUUUAUCCUUAAACAAUUUCAGCUCCCAGAUCCCGCAAACUUUUGACUCCUUUUUAAAGCUUCAUGACAUGAACCUAAGCAGAAACAAAUUCGGCGAAUGUUUUCCCCGCCUCACAAAGCUGACUCAAUGAAAUAAUCAAGAUCUCAGCCACAACCAGCUCGAUGGAAAAAUCCCAUCAGGGCUCAGCCUCUUGCAAAGCCUUGAUAAGCUUGACCUCUCACAUAACAAUCUUUCGGUUCUCUUUCCAACAAGUUUUGAGGGCUUAAAAGCGCUCAUACAUCGAGAUAUUAAACAAUAAACUCGAGGGUUCACUUCCAGAUAAUGCAGAGUUUCGAAAUGCAACAUCAGAUUCAUUGUAGGGAAACUAAAGCUUAUGCAGUAAUAUUGCUAGACAAAAGUUAAUAUUAGACUAUAACCAGUGCUAUAACACAGUUUGAAUUAUAUUUAGUAUAAAAAUGGAUAUAUUAUAUAUUUUAAAAUAAAGUUUUGAUAGAUGAUUAUAGUAAGUGAAACAUUUCAAUCCGAUACGUAGUAAGAAUUUUUGUUGAACGUAUUUUUGUUGAAAAGAAAUAUAUUAUUUAAGUCUAAAUUUUUGACCAGUUUCAAGAUUUCUUUUCAUUUUUCUCAUAGAUUAAAUAGUUUAUAUCCGUUUUAAAAAAUUCAACUCAUGGCAUAGGUGGAAAAUAUAAUUAUAUAUAUAUAUAUAUAUAUAUAUAUAUGAUAAUUUAUUUCUUUCAUAAAUAUGGAACCAUUGAGAAAUGAAGUAUAAUGAUUGUAACGCAUGUGUCCAAAUUCUGGUCGUAAUGAAGUUUUGUAGGGUGUCGAUUCACAUCAAGUGUGGGUAUCGGUCGUCACCAAGGUAGAAGUGGUGUUGUCUGGUGGUUGUGUCUACUGACACCAGUUUUCUGUGAGCAUUGAUUUGUGUUUUUGAUUGCAUGGUUUGGUUGUUUGGUAUUCGUUUGUGUGUGAUUGUGAUCUUAACGCUUGUGUCCAUAGCCCAGUAGAUGGGAUAAUCGCUUCAUUGAGUAUUUUUGAUAAUACUCACGCAUCUCAUUGUGUUUGUGGUGUAGGUAAAGUGUGGCAUGGAAUCAUGGCAAUAAAAACCAGAUUUUUUCAUUUUUGCUGAGAUCCCUUUAUUUCAAUGUGUACUGCUUUUGCUACACUUAGAUCACAAAUUCUAACUUAAUAGUUGAAUCAAAAAAUGAAUAUGCCAUUCAUAGCAAAAUUUUGAAUUAGUACAAUUACAGUAGUUCGAUGAGUAAUAUAUAUAUAUAUAUGAAAUAUUAGCACUCUCACACCGUUUCCAUCUUUGUUAUUACAUUUUAGCACCGUUUGAGACUAUGGCACCGUUUUUGACUGUGAAUAGACAAAACACUCCCUAACUUAAACAUUUAACUAAACAACUUCUCUCACAAUAUUGUUUCACACACCAAAUUUUGUUUCCUUUACUAUAUAUUUUAAACUUUAAUAAUAAUAAACAGAACAAUAUCUUCUCAUCUAUCGACUGUAAACAAAAAGAGAUUGAAAAUAAUACCUAAAUCCCCAGUUUAUCUUCUACAUCUACCAUGUUUCUUCUCGAAGAACUAUUCUCAACUACCAUGUUUCUUCUCGAAUUUCAGAUAUGGUUGCCAGAGAUCUUGAAGGAAAAUAAUUGCCCAGAAACUCUCGUUGUCUCUAACCUGCUCUACCCAGAUUUGUUUUUCAAUGGAUCUGCAAAUUAUUUAAGGUUUACUCCACUAUUCCUUUGCUUCCUCGAGUUACGUUCUUACCACUACAACCCCCAAUAGAUUCUUCCAUUACAAAGAAUCCGUCUGCUUUUCUUCAUUGUCGUAGGGUUUUGAGUGAAGACGAAACACCUUUCUAGAGUCGUCAGAAUCGUCCCUCCUUUCUAGAGUCGUCAGAAGCAUUUCUAAGUGUUGUUUUGUGCACAAACCUUAGCAAACGUAGAUUUUGUGGACAUAUAAUCGUGGACUUCAUUUUUGUGGAUGGCACUUCUUGGAUAAAACGAGUUCCAGAGGUCAAAUCUCACAUUUUUGUUGAUUUUGGAAUUUUUCUUGGAUGGCAUGUAGUUAGAAAUGCUUGUGCCGUGUCAUACUUUUGCUUUGAUCAAUCAUACAUGUGCAUCUACUAAAAGGGAACUUUUUGGUUUGCUUGAAGAAGAAAGCACGUUCGUGUCCAAAAUGUACGUCACGUUACUUAACGCUGCUUUUAUUCAACGUGAGAUGUUGAUUUCCACGAAAUAAUGACCAUAUGUUCAGUUUAUUUGUAGCAUCAACAAUCAUGCUUUUGUAUACCAAUUAUCAUCUUUAAUGUUAACCAUUUGUGUCUUUCUUCUCUGUAAUGUUCACAUUCCAAAAUAUUAUCUUGCAAAGGUAUUAUUCCAUCUUUUGCACCAUCUCAAAAUCUUCAUAAGAUAAGAUGUAAAAAAAAUUGAAUAUCCAUAGGAAAUCUUACAAAGUUAUUAUUUCAAUGAAUCUUCUUGACACUCAUUAUCUUUUUCUUCCUGAAUUUUCUAACAAUAACAUAAAAAACAGAUUCAAAAUGAUAUCAUAAUCAAACCAACAAUAAACGUAACCAUCAUACCACAUUCGUAACCAUCAAACCGCUGCCAUCAAAUCACAUCACAACCACAACAUUUCCAGCCACCACAUCAUAUCCACCGUAUCGCAUCCACCACAUUUCAUCACAUUCACCGAAACGGAACUCUACCAUUGAACUUCAAUUCUGUGGACAGCGAUUCAUGGAUUUCAUCUCCGUGGACAGAGAGUUUCUUGGACGUUUCUUUCUUAAAUUUAGUGGCCAGUUGGAAAACAAUGAUAAUGAGAAUCUCCGGAAACUAAAGAUGCAAAAAAAUUAUUUGACCAAGAAAUAGCAAAAUUUUAAAAGAUGUUAAAAUGAUACGUCGGAGGUUAAGGUACACAACCAUUUGAUAAGAAGAUUGGGUCGAACACACAAUUCCAGAAAACAUGAAAACUGAAUCUUGCUGGAGAAAUCCAAAAAAAAAACGAACGAGCACAAAAACGAAUAUUCAAAAAAAGGAACACUUAAUCAAUUCAAUGUUUAGCAACAUACAUAAAAAACGGAUUGACUCACCUUAGAUGAGAAGAGCUUCUAGGUCCCAUUUCCUGUAAAUUGUAAAAAACCGUAAAGAUAAAAAAACAAUGAAUUAUGAGUAAAACUUCACAAUUUUUAACAAAAAUAGCAAAUAUAAUUCACAUGAAUCAGUGCAAAAAACCUCAAUUUCACGUUGAGUAUAAACACCCACAGAGACAAAAAGAAAAAAAAAAGAAAAAAAAAUUGCCGUCGAGAGUAGGAAGAAGAAGACGAGAGAGGUGAGUUUUUAUUAUAAGCCGCUUUCGCUAGCAAUUGAUGGCUAAGAUGAAAUUAUAUCCAACUUGAGCAUUUUUUGGUUUGUUUCACUCAUCUUUUAAGUUGGAGGACAUAAUUGUCCAAAUCUGGCGUCUACAGUGUAAAAGUAAGUGAAAACGGUCCAUAAACACAAGAGGGUGUUAACGCGAGAACUAAGACACAUAAACGGUGUCUCUCUAUAUAUAUAUUACUAGAUUUUAACCUGCGGUACACCGCAUGAAGAUAUUUUAUAAUGUCUUUCUUUUUUUAUUAAUUUUGUAUGGUAUAUAAGAUUGUACUACAUGCUGGAAAAAAAAUUGUACAACUGUAUUUUAAUGUUAAUUCUAUGAUUUAACCCGUGUAAUAUUGCAUGACAAUUUGUUUUUUAUAUAAUGUUAAUUUGAUCAACUUAACUAAAUAAGUCUAAUAUUCAAAAUAAUGAAAUAAUGUUGGCAUAACAUAAUUCGUUUAAAUAGCCUAAUUUCAGAUUAAAAUAUUUUGUGAGUUUUACUAUAGUAGACAACCCGUAAAAAUAUCUAUAGUCAUAACUUUGUAAAUUAUAAACCGCUUCAUCACAUGACCCGUGCUACACAAUUAUCAAUAAUAUUUUAGUACAUACAUUUUUGUAUCGUUUGAGUAAUAUACGUCCGUUUUCAAAAAUUCAAAUUGCAACAUAUGCAAAAUAAAAAUUAUAUUUUUAUUAUACAUAUGUUGUAUGUAAUAAUAUAAAUUUGAAAACAAAUAAGAUCAUAUAAAGAUAUUGGAGAAAUAUUUGAUUUAUUAGGGAGAGAUUUUAGGAAAUUUUGUUAAAUGUAAUAAAUAAUGGUUUCUAGUUUUGCAAUUUUAUUAUGAUUUAAUUACAAAAUUUACCUUAAAUUUUUGUUAUUUAUUCAAUUGCCAUGAGUUUAAUUAUGAAAAUAUUACAAAAUAAAAAGUUAUAACCCAAAAGGUAUAUCAAAAAUGUUAAUAUAGAAAUAUAUAUAUAUAUAUAUACUAUUUUCUUUGAAUUUUGUUAAUUUUAGUGUGUUGCGUUGUAUAUAUACCUCUUUGAAUCAAAUGGCAACAAAGGUUAACUUGGUUAUGGGAUUAACAAUUGUGGUAGAUGUUGAGAGUUCAAAUUCUCUAGUGUAAAAAUUUAACUUUCUAAAAUUAAACGUCCUAAUUUAAAGUUAAAGGUAUUACUUGGCAUCAUAGUCAUAAUCCAGAUACAGCAUUGGAAAUUGAGACCAUUCCUUGUACAACCAUUGGCAGCCUACAAAGGUUGUAUCGUCUUUUUAUUUGCUUGAAGUCAUAGAGAGAUAGUGAAAGAAUACAUGUAGUGUUGCAACUCCACCCAAAAGAGGAAGAGGUCGACCAAGAAAAGGACAAGUCAGAUUUGUUCAUCCAUUGAUACUUUAAAAUCAUUUGAAUGCUUAUUGAUAUUUUGAUAUUUUGAUUGAAAUAAGGAGCCAAUGGUUAUAUUGUUUGGACAAGGAACACCAUUACAAGGAGAACCUUCUCAGGGAGCACGUCAACUGUCUCAUGAAGCACCUUUAAUAGUUUUGUUAAGACAUGUUCCAAACAAGUGAUGUCUAUUCAUUAUGAGUUCCAAAAGGUUUACAUCACAAACAUAGAAUUGUUUGCUUAAUAACCUAGCAUAAGUUUUUCCUGAUUUCCUUUCCUAAACAAUACAUAACCCAGCACAAUGGUGAUAACACAAAGCCACACAAAACAGACUUUGAAGCACAAUUUACACUUGUUGUGGAGUUCCUUUUUGCUGAUCAUUUCUUCUUCCUUCACUUCUUUCAUCAUAGCCUUCAACUCAUUCACUUCUCCUUUGAUUUUUCUAAUCUCAUUUGCAGGGAUGGCUACUCUUGGUAAAGCAUCAUCUACUUCUUCAAACACGGCAUCCUCGACCCACUUAAACAAACUCUAAUGAACAAAAAAAUGACAAAUAGUUAGCUAGCUUACACUGAUUUUUCUACCUAAAUAAUAAGUUUUCAUAUACUUACAUCUCUUUUGCUUGUCCACGAAUUCACAUCACGUUUGCUUGCACAACGAAAGAGGUCGUCCCGGAUUCUCUUCAGGUUUAGAUGUAAAGAUCGUGACACCUAAACCACAAACACACUUGCUAGGCACACCACGCUCACUAACGCCACUCGUUGUGACAGAGCUCGAACUUGAACUCAUCGGAACAGAUAGAUUGCAGAAGAAUUUUGGGGAUUUUCAGAUUUUGUGACCUAGAAAUCGAUUUGGGGAUUUUAAGUUUCAUCAAUGUGUAAAAAGACGUCGUUUUGUUAACAGAUAAACGGCAACGUUUGCAUUAAACGAAAGCAGGAGACGGAUUGUUAACCCCGUCUGUGCAGUUCUAACAGCGAGUUAACACCAUGGUUAAAACGGCUCAGUCAACAAAAGUUUGAUAAUUUAAGCAAAGUCAACAAAAAGUUUGUAAUUAUAAAGGUUUCCGAAAAAUUCAUGAUUAAACGUCCCAAAUUUGAAAGUUGAAAAUUAUUAUAACAUUUUCCCAUUGAAUAAUACCCCUAAACACCAUUAUCAUUCUACUCUGCACAAAAACAAAAACAAAAAGUUUCCUUCUUUGAAAACCAUUAACCAAUCCGAGUAUUUUCUCAUGGCCCGAGGAAUUUCAUGUGGAAGUUCUUGAUGAAAUGGAAAUCGAUCAUUGACCAUGACCACUUGAUUCAGUCUAAUUUUUAUCAUAUCUCAGUCAGUACACUCACACACACGUCAUUUUGACCAAUAGUCCCUAAAUAUCUUCCAAAGCAAAGAGUUGAAAUUUACUCAACGGAUUGUUCAACGUUUAACACCUAAGAAGGUUUCGUAAUUUCACAAAGUAAACAGCCAAAAUAAGAAAUUUGAACCCACUACUGGUUUAGGCUACUUAGAGCAUUUUUAAGGGUGUAUCUUUGAGGAUGUAUCUUAACCAUUAAUAGGUAUAUUAAUAAUGAAAAGUGUAAGUUAAGAAGAUUUGAUUUUGAGGUGAUUAUUGGUUAAACCUCUAGUAUCUUAGAGUUUUAAUAAUAUAAUAAUAUUUAUAUAUUGUUAAAUUUUUGAAAUUAAAUAAAUUAUUAAUAAACUGAAAACUUAAAAAAAUAAACAUAUAAACAUAUAUAGAAAAUACAAUUCAAAAUAAUUUAAGAAAAACAAUAAUGAUAAAAAUUAGAAACACAAAUAUAGAAAUAAUAAACAUUAAAAUGACAAACAGUAAUAGAUAGAAACAUAUUAAUUGAAGCACAAAACAUUAUAAGAAAUUAAUGCAAAGUUUAGAAAUCAAUCUUUCCAUCUAGGGUUCAUUUGAGAGAGAUUUUUCGAUUUGGGGCUUUUUUUUCUUUUUGACAAACCAAAAAAAAAAAUCGUUUGUUUACUUAUUUUUUUACCCAUUCAACUUCUGCCACGUUGCGUAAGAACUGAGUCGGAAAAGAUGUUGGAUAGCAUCCGGAUGCUCCUUCACAUUCUACUGUUUUCAAUAUCUGGGUUUUAAAUAUUACUCUAAGGGCCGAUCGGAUAUAGCCAUAAAGAUGGCCUUACCCGACGCCGACAUGUUAAAUUAAAAUUAGAGGAUAUAUAAAAAGUAGAAUUGAAAAUGAUUUGUAUAAAUUUUUUAAAUCCUAUCUUAUUCAGUAAUGAAUUUUAAAAGUCUAAUGAAAUUUAGUAAGGGAAAAUUACAUUUUAACUUUCAACGUGUUAGUCAGUAGCACUUUAAAUUUCGAGAACUAGCAUUAUAAAUAACCAAAAUGAUUUCUAACACUUUACACAUUAAAACUAGCUUGUAUGUUCGCACCGCAAUGAUGGAGUAAUAAUGUCCAUCAACAAAAUAUUUAAAUUAAUUUUUAGUUUGUUUUAUAUAUAAAAAGAUAAUAAAAGAGGUGGCAAAAGAAAUAAGAAAAAAUAAAAGAGAUUUCAUCUUCAUCGACUACUCACUGUCUGAUCAUGAAUCUUCUAGAUAUUAUUUAUGUUCGUUUCGUUGACGUAAUCGCUGCCGCUGCCGCUGAUAUUAUAUUCACUUUACUGAUUGUGAUCAGAAACCGAAGAAUCAUCCCCAUUUGAAUAGGGUAAAGGUGUGAUAUUCUUGAUAUAUAUAGGAGACUAUUUGGUUCCUAACGAAAAAUCAAUCAGUUUGAAUCGACCUAGUGGAUAUACAUAUCUAAAUAUUGUAUAUAUAUUUGUGGCAAAUAUGUGGUCGGACUUUGAGUAGUAGUAGAAAUUGUAAAUGAUAAAAUUAAUUGAAAUUUAAAUUAAACAAAUAGAAUUUAACUAUUUCUUUUUUACAGACAAUAAUGAUUUAAUAUUUUAUUCUUGAAAGUAAGUAUUUUAUUUUAAAAAAAUUGAAUGGUUUAGGAUAUUUGAUUAAAACAUUAAAUGGUUUCGGGUUAUGAUAUAUGAUUAUAACCUAUAGAGAUUGUCUCAUGGUAAAAAAAACAUGGAAACAUAAUUUCUAAUUUGAUUUUUGUCUACUCAACCAAAGAUUUGAAGCAAAAAUAUUUAGAAGAAUAAAGAAGAGAAUUUAGCAUAUUAGCACCGUUUAUGUCUUUCUAUUCACGGUCUAGCACCGUUUCAGCAAGUCACACCCUUUCUACUUACCAUUUGACUCUUAUGUCCUUCUAACUAAGACAUCCGAUCGAACUAAACAAACAUUUUAUUAAACGGUGAAAAAUAAAGAAACUGUCAUUUAAAUAAACUGUCAUUUAUUUGGAAAACAGAAAAUUUACCAUUAAUUACAGUUUCCAAACUUUUUCGUUCUUCUAAGGUGGAACCCUAGAGCCGCCGCAUCUUCUCCCAGUUCAAACCGGAAUCUUACCGGAAAACACUCAUUACCCCCAAGACAGCCGUUCUUCUCUAGCCGUCAUCUGAGGCCUAGGAGCUUUUCGUCGCAACCUGUCAUCGGAGCCCUAGGUACCCAUCUUGCGAACGACAUCUAUGGCCUCCAACCGCCGCAUCACUGGGUUCUUCAAACCGCAAUCGACGCAUCCGCCUACAGAUGCAGAUAACUCUGAGGAUCCCCCCCUCUGAAUGGGAUCCUCGUCUUCCUCACCGUAUAUUCGCCACCAACCGUUACCCCGACGCCCGGCUCAAUGUCUACUCAAAACCGGAUAUACUCACUGUAAUCUACAAGGUCCUAAAAGGCACCCAAGAGUUCGAUACUAUUCUUGAUUCCCCGCUGCGGUCGUUGUUUAAGUUAAGAGUCAGCGAGUGUAGUAUCUCGUGUAAAUUGGUCCACGCGCUGCUCUGCCGACAAUUGGUAUCCAAGCGGAAGUACGAGUUGUGGACUGUUUUCGGUGGACAACCGUUACGAUUUUCGUUGAUGGAGUUUGGCGCUGUCACAGGUUUGGAUUGCUCCGAGUUCCCCGAAGAUUAUGAUCCUGAUUACCAACAUUUCCCUGCCCCCGGAGAGCAAUGUUACUGGGAUAAUCUUAUUGGUGACGACCGGAAGGCAACUUUGGCUGAUGUUUCCAAAGUUUUCGAAGACCCCAAGGUUGAUGAUUUGCAAAAGAAACUUCGUCUUGCGUUGUUGCUUAUCGUGGAUGGUGUCCUUAUUGCUUCUAGCCAAACACACCGGCCUACAUUCAAGUUUGUGGAGAUGUUGGCUGAUGUUGACUCUUUUCUAACGUUCCCUUGGGGCCGUGAAUCCUUCUUGAAGACCAUUUCUGCUAUGAUGCCUGGUAAGAAGAUUCUAACCAAACCUGCUUCGAAAAAGCUCAGAGUUCAGGGGAAAUACUCUGACCCUCUCUCAACAUUCACUGAACAACUCCAGUAGAAGACAUUCCGCCUCAAUGGUUUCCCUCUAUCUCUCCAACUGCUCGCUUAUAGGAACAUUAGUGGCCUCCUUGAUAAGAUCCCCGGUUCCAAUGACCCUCGUACCUUUCUAGAAUGGGAUUCUGUUGGUAUUCCCAAGAAUAGCUUGCAGCUCACAGAUGUCCACCAAUUCGAGCGCUCACCUGAGGUAUGUUCCACCCUAAAAUUACCUACCAAGAUAACCCAUCCACGUGGAUAACACUCUUAUGACUAGUUUUUUUUGUUUUCCCAGUUAACUAUCUCUAACUAUAUUCAUGUCGACCCACCGGAGGAGGGUUGGGGAGAGUUCGACGAUGAAGUUAAAGACCGCAAGGUUUCUUACUUGAUGUCUCUAAUUGAAGAAAGACAUGUUUUCAAAAGUAGUGAGUGGCCUGGCGGUGAUUCUUCAUUGCCUCUAAUUGUCAUUCCAGAAAAACCACGUGAUGUUAUCCAUAGGCGGCACAUUGUCUCUCGGAGAAGGAAGACAUCACAAAGGUUUCGCUCCCGUCAGUCCACGACAUCCAAGCACAAAGAUAAGCCAGUUACCCCAAUGGAUAACCAAUCUAACAUCGAAGAUCCACUCCAAAAUGAUCUCAGAUAUUGGUUUGAGGCUCAACUCACGUCUAUCCGCUCCAGUUUUGAUGCAAGGCUGAAUAAGUUGGAGUCUAAGAACAAAAAAUUGAUUGGGAAAUUAAACUCUAUGCUUUCUCGUGGUAUAUGGAAACCACGCCAUCGCCGUCAGCUCCACAUUUUCAAGAAACGUUGUGUUAAUAAUAAGAAGGAAUCACAGCCUCCCCCCCCCCCAACAAAGAGGGAGUGUGUGAUAACGCACACAUGAGUGUUCCCAAAACUGUUAACUCUGAAUUACAUGAAACGACAUUAGACACUGGUAGUCCAGAAGAUAUUCUAGACGGUGGGCACGACUGGUCAAAAUACAGUACAAAUGUAUGUAUUUUCUUCCCACUACUUGUCUUUUUUAUUUUUUUUGUUAGGUUAAUCGUGUUUGUGAUUCUAGAGGUUAUGAUUCUCUUUUUUUUUUCAACAGGAUCCUCUCGACGAGUCUAUAAACUUAGCUGCAACACCCUCUAAGAGUCAUGUACACAUUACUGUAAGCAACCCCUGUCAAGUAUGCAUCUUUUGACUCCUGUCAAGAUCUUACCUUCAACAUCUUAUCUCACAUUUUCUACCAAUCAUUUCCCCUGCAUGUUUUCCACACACAGGGUGAUCAGGACGCCAAGUUUCUCUCGCAGUUGCCAGUCCAUGCAGAGGAUAUCCAGCAAGAGGAUGCCCAGGGAGCCAAGGCCCUACAAGUCUAUGCAGAGGAUAUCCAUUCCGUGAAUAUCCAGGAAGAUGAUGUACAGGCACACGCUAUCCAGGCACAAGAUGACCAUCAACAUGGUGACCAGGCAGAGGGUGACCAGGCAGCCAAACCCCUACCAGUCGAGGCAGAGGAUAUCCAUCCAGAGGAUAACCAUGCAGAGGAUUAUCAGGUAUGAGAGUCCCUAUUCCAGGUCUUACUCACCAUUUCCUCCUACUUUAAUUUUAUUGUCCAAAGGAAGCACAUCUCUCACAAUACUUCUUCAUUCAUCCCCAUUCCGGGGAUAUCCAGGAAGAUGAUGUCCAGGCACACGCUAUCCAGGCACAGGAUGACCAUCAACAGGGUGACCAGGCAGAGGGUGACCAGGCAGCCAAACCCCUACCAGUCGAGGCAGAGGAUAUCCAUCCAGAGGAUAACCAGGCAGAGGAUUAUCAGGUAUGAGAGUCCCUAUUCCAGGUCUUACUCACCAUUUCCUCCUACUUUAAUUUUAUGGUCCAAAGGAAGCACAUCUCUCACAAUACUUCUUCAUUCAUCCCCAUAUCCUCAGGAAACUCCCGCCGCAUAUAUGUCCCAACCCAUAUAUGACACUGCACCACGUUCCACAUUAUCUAACCCCUCCAUAUCUCCUCCUUCCAACCAGCACAAUGUCAUAUAUGACACAGCUCCCAAACAGAGGCUUGAAGAGUUAUAUGAGGUAUUUUUUCCCACAUCGCAGGGACGAUGGAUAAAAUCCGCCUAUUGACAAUACAACUUCUUUUUUUUUCUUCCAUUAUGUUAUCUUACCUACUGUUAUUUCCCCCCUUAGCCAUUACCAGAUGUAUAUAUUUUACCUCCUUCCUCGGCUGUUGUUGUUGAUGAUGAAGGGAAAGAGAUUCCAGUGAGCUCCAAAACCCUGUCCCCCUGUUUUAAAAUUGUAACUUCAUAAGUUAAUCACACUCACUCUUAAUUUAUAUGUGCAGUCCCCCCCACCAAUCAAAGAGGACGUGGUCGCGAUUGAUAAUGAUGUACCUGUCCACGAAACACCUGUUCAGGUAAAAAACAUUCGCCUGUUUAUCCAUAUGGAUUGCAUUUCGUGGACACUGCCAUCUAACCCAAUACUUUGUCAACCUAGUCCAAAGCAGACGCGACUAUUCCCCCGUCCUCAAUUGGCGUUGAUGAUGUGGAUGCCGAGUUGUCGGUCAGUUACUUAAAAAUCCCUCACUUUAUAUUUCCAUUUUUGGUUAUAUAUGUACAUAAUGAUUCACAUUACUGACUCAUGGAUCGUCAACAUAAAUCUUAGACAGCUCUUGUAUUGUAUAAAGGAAACACGCAAGACGCUGAAGUAACGCAAGACGCUGAUGUAGUAUUCGAUAGACUAUUUUAUUAAAUUUCCUUUUUCCAGGUUUGAAGGAAAUGUAAUCCCCUAUUUGUUUUGUUUUUUUCCAGCACAAUGAAGAUUCCCCACCCACUUAUGUUGAAGUCAGUGAUUCAUCUCCUGCUAGGGAGAGGAAACGGGCCAAUUUGUCUGAUGCCGAAUCUGCGCUUGUUGCGUCUUUAUUGCAGAGGCCACAAUACUCCCCAUCCAUGGGGCACGUCCUAUUACCUAGAUUGGAUUAUGCGCUUUUCGAGUACUUUAAGGAAACACUAGAAUCGUCCCCUUCCACGUACGUUUUUCCAGUUUUCUCAGAUAUGGCGUUCUUGACCAUUCAUGUUUUCUAACACGUAUGGCUUAUUUUUUUCAGGGCACAUCUCACUCGCUGCGAUUUCCUAAUUGAUAACAAAUUUAUCCUCAACUUAGCGACCCUUACCCAAUGGGUGUCCACUUUGGUAAUCCCUUAACCUUUUACUUUUGUUGUAUUCGGUUCAAUUCAACUUUCAUUAUAUGUUCAAACCUUUCACAUUGGUUACACGGCACAUGGAGGUCCUUGCAUCUUUCUUACAGCAAAGACAUUCCUAUGUCCUUGAGCACGAGAGGUCUGCAAUACUUCCUCCUUGGCUGGGCAACUAUCUCCAAGGAAAGCAUCGCAGUUUUCGGGCUGCCAAAAACAAGUUACGAGUGCGUUGGGACGCACAAUUUGAAAGAGCUAUCCCCGGCAAUCCUGGCGAGUGGUUCGAGCGUAUCGACAUGAUUUACAUGCCAAUGAUUUGGGAAGAUCGGCAUUGGGUUGGGUUGUCUAUCAGUCUACCCAACUGGUGUGUAUACAUAUUGGACCCCAAUUAUGAAUUAUACGAUAAACGCAAGGUCACCAAUUUCAUAGCUCCAAUUGUAGAAAUGCUGCCAUACAUAAUUAACAAAUUCUGCCAGCCACGCAUGUCCCAGCAAAACGGUUUGUCCAAGUUCAAGUGGCAGAGAUUUGAAGACAUCUAUGUGAACAGACGUUCAGGUGAUUGUGGUCCUGUGGCGAUGAAGUUGUUGGAACUUUACGCUAAUGACAACGGCCCAGAGGAGAUGGCAGAGAUUACCGACUCAAUUGUUGAUGAAUUCAGGGCACAAUACGCCAUGGAUAUAUACACUGAAUUAGUGGCUCCUAUUUAUGCAUCCCCCGCUUGUUAAUGUUGUAUCAAUCUUGUUCCACUUAUUAACAGUACCAUCUUUGUAAACAUUUCUUUAGACUAACAUCUUAUUUAUGCAUCGAUGCUUUAUCUUCUGGAUACUCUAUUAAUUGAAGUUCUUAUCGCUUCUUAAUAGUUUAUCUACUGAAGUUGUAUUUUCGGUCCAUGUUAUAGAAGACAAAUGGUUGGAUUAAGUACACUCUCAAUCAAAAUAAUUCCAAUCAAACAUAUCCACACGGAUACCGGUCAAAGUGCACUCUCAUAGUGGAUGGUUAUGUUAUCCCAUGUGUUUUCAUUGAUAUACAAAAUAAUUCCAUGUGUUUUCUUAAUGUGUUCCCAUGUGUUUUCUUAAUAGUUUAUCUACUGAAGUUGUAUUUUCGGUCCAUGUUAUAGAAGACAAAUGGUUGGAUUAAGUACACUCUCAAUCAAAAUAAUUCCAAUCAAACAUAUCCACACGGAUACCGGAUCAAGUGCACUCUCAUAGUGGAUGGUUAUGUUAUCCCAUGUGUUUUCAUUGGUAUACAUGGUUUUCAUUUUCAUUAUAAAUUUGGAACAUAUCCAAUAUAAUCAUAUCCACACUGAUUCCUGAUUGAGUCCACUCACACAUAAUUUUGUGAGAAACCUAUCUUCUUAAACAAAUCCACACGGAUACCAGUUUAAGUCCAAAGUCCAACUACAUGUUGCUUUAUGUCUUUCCAUAUAAAGGGGAACGCACUCCCUCAGAACUUAUGACCUAUAGCUUCUUGAUUCUUUAGCUAAACGUAAUGGAGGCCAACCUGGUUCGCGAUGUUAGUGUUAUAUAUUCGUAAUUCCAUCUAUAAAAUUUUUAGAUUGUGCCUCACCCUUUCUCUUUCGCAGGUCCACUCCGAUCGAACUAUCCACUUCCCAGCUCCCAUACUAGCAAAGAUCGUCAGCUACGUUUCUAUCGGUGGGGUCGAUUCUCUGAGGAAUUGGAUACACGCUGGCCCAGCAGGCAAAGACGCUGCGUUGUCCCCUGAGUGUCUCUCUGUUGUCCGUCUGGACCAAUCUCCUCACAUUCUAUGGUGGUCUAUGCCACAUUCCAAGUUCUACCUGUUCUUCUGCAAGUGUUUACAGCACAGCAAUCCAUACGCUGUGUACGAUGUUCUUAACAAAGGGGUAGUUUUUGAGAAUUUGACCAGAGAUUUCUACAGAAAUGGUAAAUGGUUAACGUUGUACGGACCUAUCACCAGACUUGGAGCUGUUGAAGAAGACGAGUUUGGAGGUUACGUCUACCACCCACCGAGACUUGGGAGACGUGUUGUCCGGCGGAUCUGCAACCGCUGCAACAAAUCAUGUGCCAACACGUGCCCACGUCCCAACGUUUGAGUUUAGAUGUGUCUAUCCACCUACAAAUAAUAAUAAAGUAAUCUUUUUUGGUAUGGUGGAUACCAAUGUUUUGACAUUGGGUUUUAUUUAUGUACUGUCCCAUCCCGCUGUUUUGGGAUGUUCUCUGUUAGUAAGCAAACGUCGUAUUGCCCAGCGAAUUUUCCUGAGGUACUUUUCUGUACCGUCCUUAUUAACUGUUGAGUUUUUGUGUUUGCAAACCUUUGUUGUGUAAUCAACAUACUACUUUACCCACAGCUCCACGUAUACCACACUAGUUUCACGUACCAUCCUUUCAACCUGACAUUCCUCCAAUUUUAAACUGUAUAUUCUACUCCAUUAAUAAAUGGUGGGGACUCUAAUUUGUGAGGGGCUUUUGUCCAAUAUUAGCUAAUUCAGUAAUGAUGGUACUUAAUUCUUCUACCUGCCAUCUUUCCCGCUUUGUUGUUAGGUUAAAGGGAUGCCUAGGUUAAAUGUCAUUUUAUAAACAGUUUGACCAGAGCUUAUGAACCUAACAACAUAUACAAUCCUUAACAUAAACGCAGCUAACACCCAUCUGUUCCUCUUCAAUGGAUCAACGUCAACCCGAAGGCACUUCUUUGGAGGUACAUUAUGUCCACACAGACUUAUCCUCUUUUGUUUUUGUUUUAUUGUUUUAAUUUCCCUAUCCUCGCACGUCUGUCCAUCGAGUCAUAUCCACAUCCCCGCUCCCCUGCUAGCGAAGAUUGUAUCCAUUGUGGCUGAAGACGGUGUUGACUCACUCAAGAGCUGGAUCAAAGCAGGUCCACUGGGUAAGGAAGCUGUCUUCUCUUCCGAAACACUUUCCACUGUUCGUCUUGACAAAUCUCCCGAUUUGCUUUGGUGGUCCAUGCCACACUCCAAAUAUCACAGCUUCUACUACAAAUGUUUAGCUGAGAACAACCCUUACGCGAAUUGGGCUGACCUCAACAAAGCUUUUUCGUUUGAAACUUUAAUAGAGCAGUACUACAGAACUGGAAGAUGGGCACCUGCGUUACCUGACCACCACCCGGCGGAGAACUUCUUACUACCACCUACGAUGCAGUUGAGAGUCGGAAGACCUCGCUGCCCACGUUGCAGGAGACCAUCCCAUCACCCUUCCACAUGUCGCCAUGGUUAGACUGUGUAGUUAACUAUCAGCUGGAUGCCCCCAUAUAUUUCCAUGCUUCCAUGUGUCUCCAUUUAAUCGGCUCGAUGUUUUAUCCCAUUUCUUUUUUUUUUUCAUUCUACCUCCAUGUGUUCUAUCUUCAUUUUCUCUCUAUUGUUAUUUUACCGUGGAUUUGAGAUAUCUAUAAUUUAUGUUUUUCUGUGAUUUUCAGUCCAUGUUUUGGAAUCUCUUUCCUUCCGGUGACUCUAUCUAUAUUUUCAAUCCAUCUUUCUGUUCUAUCUUCGAUACCAGUUCAAGUACAUUCAGACAUAUCCACAUGGAUAGCCUCUAAAUAACCCAAUCUCCACACAAAAAUUUCCACAUGUAAUCCAUUCAUUUUUUUGUUGAAUACCUAUAAAAGUCUGAAUAUCCACCUGGAUAUAGUCUCCUAACCGACUAAAAAUGUAAUCCAAUGCUGGUUUUGUAAUUUUCCCAACUAUAUGUGAUUUUUAGCUGGUUUGUGGACGGACAACCUUCUUACUGGUUUGUGGUUGCAUACUAUAUCCACACAUACAUAUCCACAGGGAUUCGAUCAGAUUCACACAUACGACUUCUAUAUCUCACAUGUUUGUUUAGGACAUCUGUUUUAUACGCCAACGUUGGUGUUCAUGAAACACAAUCUUGCAGGGACUAAGGAAAACACAAUCUUGCAGGGACUAAGGAAAACAAUACAUUAUGAAAACAAACACCCAUAGAUAACGCAUACACUUUUACGAAACCAACAUGAUAUCCCUUGCCAAAUAGAAGAGAAUGCAGUCCAUACACCUCUCACCGUUACACUCCCCAAGCAUAUCAUGCUCCUCCCAACAGUGUGGGAAAUCAUCAACAUGCCACGUUUCGGAAUAUGUACCCCACCGUCGAGGUCCAACCAUGUAAAUGUGGUACAUCAACGAGUUCGCCAUUCGUGAUAGCGCUUCAAAACUAUAUUUCUUCUUAAGCGCGUAGUAGUCAUCACUCUUAAGUGUCCCCGCACAGCUUAGCAACAUGUGAUACGCCAGAUUAGCCACACCGUAUACAUCCUUGACACGUUCCAAUGUUACGAGUGACUCGUUUAGAUCACAAGUCCUAAAUCCUAGCAGCAGGCCUUUCACAUACAGCGCGUACGGAUUCCCAGCAUUUAGACACCACCCGAAGAAAUCGAAUAAUCUGCUGCUCGGUCGCCACCAUCGAACAAAAUCGUAACUCCGAUCUAACCGGACAGGAAACAACGUCUCUUGCGAGAGUACAGCGAUCUUCCCCUCCUUCCCAGUCCGGAUCCAGCUUGCGAGUUCUUCUAUCCCCUCUUCUGCCACAUAGCUAACGAUCUUCGCUAGUAUUGGAGCUGGGAUGUGGACAUUAGGAACAAUACCUUCCUGCAUCCCACACAUGACAAUCAGACGUUACAUUAAUACACAUAACAAUAAUACUCGUCAAAAAUUGGAUUUUUUUUGUGGAUAGACAAUUACAAUUACCUUCCCUGCAACCGCCGCACCACUACUCUCGCCAACCGUUACAGGACGUUCUCGGCGAACAAGAGAACUGCGUCCGUAGAAAUGUCUUGACGCAGUUAUCCUAUGUGGAUCUGCCAUCUCACCCUCGUCACUCUCAUAUCCGUGAUCUGGUUCCAUUUCAAUACGGUAGUAGUUUUUCUCUUCUCACGAACAUGUCCCUUAUUUAUUGCAGCUUAAACCUAACACCUAUAGGUCUGUGGGAUUUCCAACGCUUGUUUGGAGGGAAUACUCCCGCCUAAACUUCCUGCCCUACUUUUUCCGCAACCACCAACAUUGGUUCAUACAUCUACCCACCGGUCAUCUCUUUUUCCAAAGCACUUCAGUGUUACAUAAAUCUGUUCUAUUUAUCAGUACAUGUGGACAAUGCCCUGUGGACAAGUUAUAAUAGACAAAUAACUAUAUCCAUAUGAAGAUGUGCGAAGCCAUUAGUAAACCAGAUCCUAAUCACGCUUACUGUUUGUUAAACAUGAGAAAGUAAAUGACAUAAUUCAUAAGGUGUUUCAUUAUGGAUAAUGCAUAGUAAAUGACAUAAUCCAUAGUGCCUCCCAUUUACACUUAUACUAAUCACGCUUACUGUUUGUUAAACAUGAGAAAGUAAAGGGAAUUCUUUUGAUUAACUCCACUAAGACAAAAUUUUAAGUUCGAAGCCAUGUGGAUACCUUUGACCUUUACUUCAUAAGUUAGGUAGCUAUUUGGCACAUGUACAAUCCCAUGAGAUUUUAUUGGUUGUUAAACAUGACAACACUCGUCGAAAGAUAAUGGGCUCACAUUUUAGCCUAAUUAAUAUAGACAUUAAUAUACUGAACACACAUAUCCUUGAACAUAUCCUUAACCGCUUGGCUACAGCCCAAAAAAUUACCAAUGUAACUUAUCCCCCAUUACAACCUAAACCAUCGGCUUUUUGUCUUUCACAAAAAAAUACCAGACUAACCGAAAACCCCAUUACAACUGUGUGGCCUGACAAUGUAGUCCAAAAAAUUUCAUCACACAUAUCCGUUAAUUGUUUAGCUUAACCAAAACACCCAUUACAUCAAAAACCUCCCGGGUGUCGACUUUUCCAUCAUCCAUAACUCUCUUCAGAUGGGGUUGUUACACCUAGUCCUAUUGUGCCCAGUCCCUUUGCACCUCGAACAUCUCUGAAUUUUCGCCGGAGCUGUCGAAGAUUUCUAUUCAAACAAACAAUAACUCAAUGUCAAACCAUCACAACCAUCAAAUAUAGAUAAUGGCAAACCAUCACAACCAUCAAUGUCAAACGUGCCAAACAUUGUAAAGAUUCAAAUAUCUUACUGGGAUUUCUCCAAUGGACGGUAUCCUCGAUUGUUUAGGCCUCCCGGAUGGCCUCCGUGCAUUAGGUGGCAGCAGCUCCCUAUAGACAAUCUCGUCAGACAACUCUAUGUUGGAUGCAUCAAACUCUGGGGUAAUGACCCCUGCAUAAGUAGCUGCCCAUGUAGUUGUUUUGUAAAACUCCCCUACCAGUGUAGCAUGAGGAAUCCCUUGAGUAUUUGCUGCCAACAUCGCAUGGCCACAUGGGAUUUUGUCUUUGUCAUAUUUUUUGCACGUGCACUUCUUCAAAUCCAGCAAAACAUGAUGCUUCCCACCGAACAACCCUACCACUUCAUAACUCCAGCUACUUAUAGUACCAACCUUGCUACUCUUUACCUCCACCAUACGCUUUGUCAUCUGUUUAUCUACCUCGGGUGUCACCAAACCCUUAUGCUUCCCAGCCUUCUUCCUACGAGCACUAAACCAGCGAGUAAGCAUAGCACGGAUGAAUUUCAGAAGCUCCACUAUUGGCGAAGCCCUUCCUUUCCACAAAGCCUUGUUCAAAGUCUCUGCGAUGUUGCUAGUCAUAAGGUUAUAACGUUCUCCUUGGAAAUAUGCCCGUGACCAAUGAGCAGCCCCAAUUUUGUCCAAGUACUUAGCACAUUCCAUGUUUUUCGCCCUUAUAUUUUUGUAUAACACCCUGAACGCACCAACUGUGUAAGCAUAACCAGCGUUGCUAACCAUCUUCGCCAAACCUUUGCUAUGGAAUCUAGCAUUAACAUUCCUAGCCAAGUGAACUAUACAAGCUCCAUGCUUAGCUUUUGGGAAAACACUUCUCUUAGCCGUGUAUAUAGACUGGUUAUGAUCUGAAAUUAUCGUUAGCGUAUCACUGUCAGCAAUAAUCCUCUCUACCUUCUGGAAAAACAAUGUCCAAGCUUCAUCAUUCUCGCUAUCCACAAUUGCGAACGCUAGGGGGAACACUUGGAAGUUAGCAUCCUGUCCACUUGCUGUCAACAAUACUCCCUUAUAUUUCCCGAUCAAAUGUGUCCCAUCCACAACUAGCACUCGCCGUAGAUGCCUAAAACCUUGGAUUGACGCACCAAAUGCUAGAAACAUAUACAAGAAUCGCUCUUUUCCAUCAUCUCCAACUACAGUUUUAAUGUCAGUCACGGUGCCAGGAUUUCCAAGCUUCAAUGCGUGCAAAUAAUCAGCAAGUUUGUCAUACUAUUCUUCCUCUGUCCCAAACAAAUUCCCCUGGGCCUUCUCCCGCGCUCUCCAACAUUUGCUGUAAGAUGCAUCAACCUUAAGCUCUUCCAAUACUAGCUGUUGCAAAUCCAUUGGUACAAGCCCCUUUGAGGGAUCACUGUAUUUAGCUUUAUAAACAGCUGCUAUUACUCUCGAUGUUGCCUUCUUCUUGUACUCAUUUCUUGUUUCCACGGGGCAAGUGUGUUCAAGUGAAGCUUUCCUUAUUUCAUAAUAACCACUGUUUCUCAACUCACAACACAACAUCCUCCAAUCACAUCUUUCAUCCACCCAGUUUAGCACAAAACAAUCCUUCCUGGUUCUCGUUUGUCUGAAAUGGAACAUUUUUUUAUCGCAUAUAUAGCUAUCCCUAUUUGGCAAUCCUCCUUACUUGCGAAUACUUUGCCCUUGUAUAUCCCUCUCUCGUCAUCAUCCCAAUCAAGAUCCGGUAUCGCUUCCCUCACAUACUCUGUAUCAUCAAACAAUGGUGGAAUAUCAAAUUCCUCAUCAUCUAUCUCCUCUAACUUACGUUUCUCUGCAGGACGUGUCGUCCUCUGCCCAUUACUUUCACCAAGCGGAUCACCUAACCCCCCUCUUUGUGGAUAUCGAACAGCCCCCUUAACAUCUUCCUCCUUUUUCAAGUUCACACUUUCAUCAAAAGGGUCAUGUGAGCUCCACAUUACCUCAACUGGGUUGGUCCGACCAAAAUCAUCUCCAAUGAAAUUUCCCCAGAACUCUCUAUCAUAACCUUUAGGAGACACCACAACAUCAGUUUCUUCUGGUUCCACCCCCUCCAUUUCACCCCAUUCACCUUCCGCUUCCAAACUUCCACCACCAGUCUCCCCACCUUCCUUCGUUUCUCUCACCACCUCGUCAACAUCAUCUAGUAGAUCUGCAUCAGAUUGCGUAGUAAUGAUUUCAGGUGGUUUUGAAGCAGGUGUAGACGUACCAGGAGUAGACGAUGUCAGGAAAAUAUCUUCCAAAUCAUUCUCGCUUCCACCUGAACUCUUACCAGAAGAGUAACUCCCGCAUCCUCUCUUCACGCCACCCUCACACUCUGCUUUCCCGGUUGCUAUUUCCACACCUCUUUUUCUGUAUUCCCCAAACUUAACAAACAUGUUCAAGCACUUGUUUGAGCGGAACAGACUAUUGAAAUACUCCAAACCACUGGGGGUAGUGACCAGCACUGGAGGAGUUCUCGCCCCUGUCGUGAACUCCAUACUAUUGGGUGGACAGAAGCUGAAACUAGCCUUUUUCACCCCGACGUUAAACUCCGACACGACAGCAUCUUCAAAGUCUCCCAGAGACAUAUCCUCCGACACCGGCACCGCUCUCGAAACCAAAUACUUGUCCACUUCAAACCUCCAAAUCCCAUCCAAGCAAAGAGACCACUCUCCACACAGAACGAUACAAUGUCCAUCGAAACCAACCUAAUCCACAAAAACAUAGCAUAGUUAGUUUUCAAAAGUUUCGAAUCCACCCAACUCCAUAACAAAAUUGGGAAUCAUGUAUCCACGCAAAAAACCUUUGAAUCAGACAUGUCGGCUGUUCGGGAGCAUUCACAAAAUACAAUUUACUUCUUUUCCUUAUCCACACAACAUCAUAACCUUAAAAAAAUUGGUUCCCAAAUAUCAGCCGCACGAUCUAUGUCAACUACAGUUUAUAACUGACGGUUCAGAUCUAUUUUAAAGGAACUUCUUUAGUUAGUAUCUAGUUAACGCUCUUUUUUAUGUCCUCCAACAUGUGAGGUUAUUAUCGUCCAUAAACGUAGUCUACAGUGCCAAAAACAUUGAAAAACGGCGCCUCAUCCCAAAAGGGUGUCAUAUUGUAACAAAACAUAGACAAACGGUGCUAUCAAGCAACCUUCCCAAUAAAGAAUUGAUGAUGAUUUUGAUUGUUCUUCUCAAUUUUAUUGCGCGAGAUGAAGAGCGAUUGUAAGUCAGAGUGAUGACGUUUGAAGAAAACUAGAGAAUCGGAAAAAGGAAAAUCAUUCCAUUUUUACUGCUCUCACUUUUUUCUCUUUGUGUACGAUUUUUCAGAUCUAGUUUUGUUUCUUUAUUGUUUUGCCCAGAUCUUCAUUGUGGCUUGACUUUUCAGAAGAGAAAGGGCAACAAGAGUGAACUUUCCAUUCAUUCCCAUCAGCGUAGAGGUGGGGUUCCGACAAACAAUGCAGCUGUGACAUGGCUGAGGAUCCCUGAUUUAGGUAUCUCCCGUUGAAAACUACCGAGGUUUUAUGUAUUUUAUAAACCAUAUUAAAGUUUAUAAUUUUCAUUAUUUAAAAGGGGUAUCUUUGAAAAUAGAUAGAAAAUGGCGUAUUUUUUAAAAAAUGUACACCAAAAGGGGCAUUCUCAAAAAUUCUCAAACAAAAUUAUUGUAAAAACCUCUAUAUAUUAGUAUUCAAUAAACUAAUAAUCACUAAUAAAAUUUUUCCCGUUUCAAAUUAGGUCAAUAUAAUUUUGUAUCUCUUUGUAUACUUGGAUUCCACGUCAGCAUGACUUAUGCACACUUGGAUUCCACAUCAGCAUGACUGCUGAACACAUUGAUGCCACAUCAUCGUUAAUUAAACAUUUAUCACGUUUUUGUAUGUUUAGGUACAAAAACUAAACUUUAUGUUUGAAAUUGAAAUUAUUUAAAAGUGCAUGUAUGUUAUAGCACAUGCGAUAGUUCAAUGUAUAAAUUCAACACCGUGUAAUUGUGCCAUACAUAGAUAUAAGUUAAGAUACAAAUAUAAUAUUACCAUUAAUGAGAAAUUGUAUUUUGUUUUAUAAAUACAAUUAUUCCAUUGGCAAUACAUGUAGUUAAAUUUUCCUAUUUUUGUCUUCAACUUACAACCGUCUUUCGACUAUUUUUGCCUGUUUGUUUGCUUGUGACCAGUGACAGUGACAUCGAUUAGUGACAGCGACCAAAACAUGUUCAUUUGCCUGUCGAUGAUCCCGCGACAGUCGCCAGAGACCAGCUACAGCAAUUUUUAGUCCUAGAAAAUUUCAGCGAUCAUCAGCGAUCAGUCGCUGCAACAUGUCGCUAGAUUAAGCGAUAGGCAAAUGAACAACAUAGCGACUACAAAUCUAAAAAGUGUUUAAUUAAAUUGAUUAAAGUUAAAUAAAUUAAAUUUUGAUCAAAAUUAUUGAAAAUUAAACUAAAUAUAAUAAAUCACAUAAACAAUUUUUUUAAAAAAAUAUUAAUUUAAUGUAAUUUAAUUAUAUUCUAAAUAAAUGAAUUAUAAUUAAAUUAAAUUUAACAAAAUUAAAGUGAAUAAAAUAAAGAGAAAAUUGUGGGUUAUGCCCUGAAUAGUAACAAAACUUUUAAGGAAUGCCAUUUAAAGAAAUCCUUUCUCCCUUACCCCAUUAUCUCUCUCUUCUUCUUCAUCUUCAUCUUCAUCUUUUUUUUUUAAUUAUUUCAACAACACACAGUACUGACGGAUUUCAACAACACACAGUACUAACGGACCAGAUCCGACGGCCGAACUCCGAUGGACCAGAUCCGGCGGACCAUAGCCAAUUCCGGUGAACUAUAACCAGCUCCGUAGACCAGUUUCGGCAGACCAGAUUCGACGGACCAGUUCCGACAGACCAUAACUCCAGCAGACGAGUUCCGGCAGACCACAGUCAGUUCCGGCAGACCACAGUCCGGGGGACAAAUUCCUAGGGACCAGAUCCGACAAACCAGUUCCGACAGACGAGAUCCGAUGGACCAGAUCUAAUGGACCCGAAUCGGUAGACCAAGCUUGUCUAUCCUACAGUUCUCUUGAAACCACAAAUAAUUGAGUAGAAUAUGAAACAAGUGAUGCAUCUAUGGAAGAUAUCCAUCAACGAUCUAUCUAGGUGUACACUUUGGAUCACACAUUUGUGCGUAGAUGGACUAGAUCCAGUGGACUAGAUCCGAUGUCCAGAUCCGAUGUCUGUAAUAUGUCCAUUUUUGUUUCCUAAUUUGUUGUCCAUCAUGCGUAUAGAGUAAAGUAAAUCUAGUUUUUCAUAAACGAACUUGUCCACAAUAUAUUUCUUAGAUGAAUAGAAAAGAAAUUGUCCAUAAUCGAGUGUGGACAAAAAUCAAAGAGUGUCGACAAAGAAAAACUUGUCUAUUGCUUAAUGUCCGUAAAAGUCAGCCUUUUUUGUUUUCCUUCCUUCCUAUUUUAGCAAAACUCACUCAACAAUGCUGAGGGCAAAAUUGUCCAAGUUUUCUUCUUUGUGGCAUGUUUUGAAAGACAUUAUUGAUAAUGACACUUCCACAAUUUUGAGUUUUCAAAAUGGCAUAAUACAUAAAAUUCCGUAAAAUAAAACUAAGACAUAAAUUCGUGAUUUGAAAAAAUAUUAUUAAACUAUUUCAUAAUGUAUAUGUAAAUUAUAUUGUAAAUAUUUUUAUAAUGUAUAUGUAAAUUAUUUUUUAUUUGAAAAUACAAAAUAACAAAAAUUAAAGAGAACUUUUGAGAAAUGCCCCUUUUGGUGUAUCCUUUUUUAAAAAUAUCCCCAUUUUCUAUCUAUUUUCAAAAAUACCCCUUUUCAAAUAUGAAAAAUUGCAAACUUUUAUAUACUUUAUAAGGUACAUCUAGAUCAUCAUUACUACUAAGAGAUUCAAUCCAAAUAUUUAUAAAGUUAUAAAAGUUUCUAAACGGCAUUUAUAAGGCUUUUAUAAGGUUUUUAAAAGGUUUACAAAGUUUUUAUAUAGUUUUAAAUGAUUUUUAAAAGGUUUUUAAAAGGUAUUUAAAAAAAUGGUAUUGGAAAAUGGUAUUUAUAUAUACACACAUACAAAAAUAGUUUGUGGAGAAUUUUUGAGAAAUACCCCUUUUGGUGUACCCCUUUUUAAAAAUACCCCUUUUAUCUAUCCAUUAUCAAAAAUACCCCUGUUUAAAUAUGAAAAAUUAUAAUUUUUAUAUGGAUUAUAAGGUACUUCUAUAUAAUAACUACUACUGGGAGAUUCGAUACAAAUAUUUUAUAAUGUUUUAAAAUGUUUUAAAUCGUUUUUACAAGAUUUAUAAGGUUUUUAAAAGGAUUUAUAAGGUUUUUAAAAGGUUUUUAUAAGUUUUUACGGUAUUUAUGAAAGUUAUAUAAAAUUUUAUACACAUACAAAGCUAAUUUUCGUAUAUUUAUAAGCUUACACAUAUAUUUGGAUUGAUUUCAACAUUUUUAGUGGUUAUUUUGAUAAAGUUGGAAAAUAGGGUAUUUUAGAAAAGUGGUAUUUGAAAAGGUUCAUCUUUUUAAAUUCCCUCUAUUUUGUGUGUAUAUAUAUAAGCUUACACAUAUUUUUCUGAUAAAUUUCAAAAUUUUAGUGACUUUUCGAUCAAAUUUGAAAGAGAGAUACUUUUAAAAAAUGAUAUUAGAAAAUAGUAUUUUUGAAAUUCUUCCAAAAUUAAAACAAAAACGACAUUCGCUAGGGACAGAUACGAACAACAUAGCGACAGUCGCCAGCAACAGUUUUUACAGUCGCCAGCGACAGAUCUUACAGUCGCUAGCGAUCAGGCAAACGAACAGGACAGAUGUACUGCACAUUACUUUCCAUUCAUAAAAAUAAAUAGUUAUCAUUUAUUAUUGCAGUUCUCCCGUCAAAAUUCUGCAGGUAGGAUAAAAAAUAAAAUAUUUUUAUUUUAUAGUCAUGAUUUUAACUGAUAAAGGAGUGCAGAACAAACACAGCUAUUUUAAAGUGUUUAAUAUAUGAUCUGCACUUGAACUGCCAGAUCUGCUCAAUCUACUUUUAUUCUGCUAGAUCUGUUUAAUACGCCUGAUCUGCUCUGCUUGUUAUGCUUUCUCCUUUCGAAGCCUUAAGAGAGCGAACUAACGUAGAUUACUUAUUUAUAUAUUACUUACCCGAAUCUACUUAACUAAAAAUUUAACUUGAUUUAGUUAAUGAAAAAUAAAGCAUGAUUUACAUUUUACAACACUAGAUUUUGAUACAAAACUUAUAAUAAAUAAUUCAAUAGUAUCGGAUAGUACGUAAAUUUAAAAUUUGUUACAUGAUUGAACGAUACCCUUAAACACCAUUACUAAUCAAAUAAAUACAACUUUUGAAUGUACGACUACGUUAGAACAAUAAAAACAAAAGUUAACAAGCAUCACUCAAGUUUUAUCAACACUCACAAGUUACAAGUCUCUUCUUGACCAAUAUUUACUAGUAUAUAUCUUCCAAAACACAGUGACUUGCUAAUUACUCAACAGAAUGUUCAACGUAUAACCACUCGAACCUAUCAGAUUAGAUAACCGGUUUAAUGGUUUAGUAAAUUAACUUGUAUAGAUGCUGUAUAGUAAUAGUAUAUAUACGUUGUACAGUUGAUCAUUUUACAAUUAAUGAGAAUAAACAGAUUAAUAUCUCUAACAAACUUUUCUCAUCUCUCUCAAUCUCAUGAACGCUAACAUGGUAUCAGAGCCAUCAAUGGUGAUUUCUACGUAAUUCCGAUCAGAUUUCGUCGUUUUUGAGCUCGAUUCUUUGUUUCCGCCGAUUGUUUUGAAGAUCCGAUGGUGUCUGUUGCUCGUGGUAUACGGAAAUCGACUCGAUCGAAGUCCUCGACGAGUUCCGCCGUUCGCAAGCAAUCACAGUCCACCGGAAAUGUUGAAUCACCUCCGGAUUCUCCUCCAGUUGCACCGUCUCGUGCUUCUAGAGCUUCGCGAGGUUCUCUCUCUCUUGGAUCUGAAGAUCCGACGCAGUCUCCGUUCUUUAUGCAUAGCGCUGAUCAUCCAGGUUUAAACAUCAUCUCUCAUCGUUUAGAAGAAACGAAUUAUGGUGACUGGAGUGUUGCUAUGCGUGUUUCUCUUGAUGCUAAGAAUAAGAUCGGGUUUAUAGAUGGAUCUUUACCUCGUCCGUUGGAAUCGGAUAGUAAUUUUCGUCUAUGGUCUCGAUGUAACAGUAUGGUGAAGUCCUGGCUCUUGAAUUCUGUAUGUCCUCAGAUAUAUCGUAGCAUUUUACGUAUUGAGAAUGCUUCUGAUAUAUGGCGUGAUCUCCAUAGUCGAUUUCACAUGACUAAUCUCCCACGCACAUACAAUCUCACUCAAGAACUUCAGGAUUUUCGUCAAGGAUCUUUAUCUCUCUCUGAAUAUUAUACUCGCUUGAAGACUUUAUGGGAUCAGUUGGAUAGUGCAGAGGAGAUCAAUGAUCCUUGUACUUGUGGAAAAGCUGCUCGUCUGCAACAGAAGGCAGAGAGAGCUAAGAUAGUAAAAUUCCUAGCUGGAUUGAAUGAGUCUUAUGCUAUCAUUCGCAGACAGAUUAUUGCUAAGAAAGUUCUUCCUAGUUUAGCUGAGGUGUAUAACAUUUUGGAUCAAGAUAACAGUCAACAAGGGUUCUCAAAUGUUAUUGCUCCACCUACAGUUUUUCAAGUCUCUGAGAGUGUUCCUGCCAGCUCUGUUUUUGUUUCUAACCCUGCAGAUCAAACCAUAUGCUAUGUUCAGAAUGGUCCUAAUAAAGGAAGGCCAAUUUGUUCAUUUUGCAAUCGUGUUGGUCAUAUUGCAGAAAGAUGUUACAAGAAACAUGGCUUUCCCCCUGGUUUCACUCCUGCUACAAAGAAACAGUCUACUGAGAAGAAUCAGAAAUCUCAACCUCUGGCUGCUCAAGUUGCUAUGAUGCCUACAGAACCUGAUAGUUUGGAAUCUAUGAUUGGGAACAUGAAUAAAGACCAGCUCAAACAGUUCAUUGCUAUGUUCAGUUCUCAGCUUCAGUUUCAACCAAACAAUACCACAGCUGUAGCUUCUACUUCCAAUUCCACUAAUACUGGUAUUUCUUUCUCUCCAUCUACCUAUUGUUUUGUUGGAAUCUUGACUGUUGCCAAUAAGACUCUAUCCUCACAAUCAUGGGUGAUAGAUUCUGGGGCUACACAUCAUGUUUGCCAUGAUAAGAGUCUCUUCUUGAUGAUUGAUCCGAAUCUUGUGAGUUCAGUAAACUUACCUACAGGAUCUACAGUCAAGAUUAGUGGUGUUGGCACUGUUAAGAUCAAUGACAACAUUCUUCUCAAGAAUGUGUUGUUCAUUCCAGAAUUUAGAUUGAAUCUCCUGAGUAUUAGCUCUCUCACUGAUGAUCUUGGUUCUCGUGUAAUAUUUGAUCCGUCUACUUGUGAAAUUCAGGAUCCUAUCAGGGGAAUGAGCAUUGGGAGAGGUAGGAGAGUGUCAAAUCUAUAUGUGUUGGACAUUGAAGAAACACCAGUCUCAGUGAAUGCAGUUGUGGAUAUCAGUUUAUGGCAUAGAAGACUUGGUCAUGCUUCUUUACAGAGAUUGGAUGUCAUUUCUGAGUCUUUAGGAACUACCAAGCAUAAGAAUAAAGGAACAGAUUUUUGUCAUGUCUGUCACUUAGCUAAGCAGAGGAAGUUGUCUUUUCCUUCUCCAAAUAACAUUUGUAAUGAAACCUUUGACAUGUUGCAUAUUGAUAUUUGGGGACCUUUCUCUGUGGAAACAUUUGAUGACCAUUCAAGAGCAACAUGGAUUUACUUGUUAAGGAAUAAGUCAGAAGUCCUCACAGUAUUUCCAGCUUUUAUUCAACAAGUUGAGACUCAGUAUAAUAAGAAGGUAAAAGCAGUGAGAUCAGAUAAUGCUCCUGAGUUGAGUUUUACAAGCUUCUAUCAACAAAAAGGGAUUAUGUCUUUCCAUUCCUGUCCAGAAACUCCUGAGCAGAAUUCAGUAGUGGAGAGGAAGCAUCAACAUAUUCUGAAUGUUGCUAGAGCAUUGAUGUUCCAAUCUCAGGUUCCUUUGUCUUUUUGGGGUGAUUGUGUGUUGACUGCAGUCUUUCUCAUCAACAGAACACCAUCACCGCUUCUUGCUAACAAGGCACCAUAUGAGAUUCUCACUGGUACACCUCCUAAGUAUGAUCAGAUCAGAACGUUUGGAUGUCUUUGUUACAGUUCAACAUCACCAAAACAGAGACACAAAUUUCAACCACGAUCAAGAUCAUGUGUGUUUUUGGGCUAUCCAGCUGGUUACAAAGGGUAUAAGUUGAUGGAUUUGGAGAGUAACAAAGUUUUUGUAUCCAGGAAUGUGAUUUUUCAUGAAGAUGAGUUUCCAUUGGCCACAUCUCAACAGUCUGAGGCAUCUCUGGAAUUUUUCACACCAAUGGUUCCUGUGCAUACAACUGAACAGCAAACUCCUCUUCCUUCUUUUCAUCCCUCACAAAUUUCUGAUAUAUCACUACCCAUUUCUUCACAAAGAAUUCGGAAACCUCCUGCUCAUUUGUCUGAUUAUCAUUGCAAUUCUAUGCAAUCUCUUUUCAAAUAUCCUAUUUCAUCUACUCUUUCUUACUCUAAAAUUUCUCCUUCUCAUUUGUGUUAUAUCAAUAAUAUCACAAAGAUUCAUAUUCCAAAUUCAUAUGCUGAAGCACAGGGCACCAAAGAAUGGUGUGAGGCAGUUGAUGCAGAGAUUGGUGCAAUGGAAUCCACUAAUACAUGGGAAGUGACAACAUUACCACACGGGAAGAAAGCAGUAGGUUGUAAAUGGGUGUUUACUGUGAAGUUUUUGGCAGAUGGUACACUUGAGAGAUAUAAAGCAAGGUUAGUGGCUAAAGGUUAUACUCAGAAAGAAGGUUUAGAUUAUACUGAAACCUUUUCUCCUGUCGCUAAAAUGGCCACUAUCAAGCUAUUGCUCAAAGUAUCAGCUUCUAAGAAAUGGUUUCUGAAACAAUUGGAUGUAUCGAAUGCAUUUUUGAAUGGAGAAUUGGAUGAAGAAAUCUUCAUGAAGUUGCCUGAAGGAUAUGCAGAUCGAAAAGGCAUUGUUUUACCACCUAAUUCAGUUUGCAGGUUGAAAAGGUCCAUUUAUGGCCUGAAACAGGCUUCAAGACAAUGGUUCAAGAAGUUUUCAACCUCCUUAUUGAAUUUGGGUUUUCAGAAGACUCAUGGAGAUCAUACACUCUUUCUUCGCAGUUAUGAUGGUGAUUUUGUGGUUGUUUUAGUGUAUGUCGAUGACAUAGUCAUUGCAAGUACGAGUGAAGUUGCUGCAGCCAAGCUCACUUCUGACUUGCAGGCUCAGUUUAAACUUCGUAAUCUUGGGGAUUUGAAGUAUUUCCUCGGCUUGGAGAUUGCUCGUACUGCUGCAGGUAUUUCUUUAUGUCAGCGGAAAUAUGCUUUGGAAUUGCUUACUUCCACUGGCAUGCUUCAUUGUCAACCUGCUUCUACACCUAUGGUUCCAAAUCUGAGAAUGAUGAAGGGUGAUGGUGAUUUACUUGAAGACAGAGAAAUGUAUCGUCGCAUUGUUGGAAAAUUGAUGUAUUUGACCAUCACCAGACCAGAUUUGAGCUUUGCUGUUAACAAGUUGUGCCAAUUUUCUGCUGCUCCACGUACAACUCAGUUGAUUGGUGUUUAUCGUGUCUUGCAGUACAUCAAAGGCACUGUAGGUCAAGGUCUAUUCUACUCUGCUUCUCCUGAUCUUACUUUGAAAGGAUUUGCAGAUGCAGAUUGGGCAUCAUGUCCUGAUAGUCGUCGCUCCACUACUGGUUUCACCAUGUUUGUUGGUGAUUCCCUUAUCUCUUGGCGCUCCAAGAAGCAAACAACAGUUUCUCGCUCUUCUGCAGAAGCUGAAUACAGAGCUCUUGCUCUGGCUACUUGUGAGGUCAUUUGGUUACAGACUUUGCUAAAAUCCUUGCAAGUCUCAUCUGCUGUUCCUAUACUCUUCUCAGAUAGUACAACAGCCAUACACAUUGCUACCAAUCCUGUAUUUCACGAGAGAACGAAACAUAUUGACAUUGACUGUCAUACAGUCCGGGAUCGGUUAGACAAUGGCGAGCUUCGACUACUUCAUGUUCGCACAGAUGAUCAGAUUGCUGACAUCUUAACUAAACCAUUGUUCCCUCAUCAGUUUGAAUAUCUGAAGUCCAAGAUGAACAUCCUUAACAUUUUUGGAGUGUCAUCUUGAGGGGGCCUAUCAGAUUAGAUAACCGGUUUAAUGGUUUAGUAAAUUAACUUGUAUAGAUGCUGUAUAGUAAUAGUAUAUAUACGUUGUACAGUUGAUCAUUUUACAAUUAAUGAGAAUAAACAGAUUAAUAUCUCUAACAAACUUUUCUCAUCUCUCUCAAUCUCAUGAACGCUAACAGAACCCACCGCAGGGUUAGGUUAUCAAGAGAUUAUUAAAGAGCCACAACUUGGAUAGGUUUCUUAAGCACCAAGAGAGAAAGAUAAGAGUGAGUUAGAGUACGUGAGAAUGGCUUUUGCAGAGAAGAACCCUUCUUAUAAUCUUCGUUUUCUUUUGAUCAUAUGCAUAGUUUUGAGCUGUUCUAUCGCAGCUUCUGCAACUAUCGCAGAAGCAAAUGCUCUUCUAAAAUGGAAAUCUACUUUCAAGAACCAGAGACCCUCAUCAAAGUUGUCUUCGUGGGUCAAUGGAAACACCAAUACAAGCUUUUUCUGCACCAAUUGGUAUGGUGUUUCCUGCAACUCACGAGGGAGUAUCGAAAAGUUAAACCUCACUGACAACGCUAUAGAAGGUACUUUCCAAGAUUUCCCUUUUUCGUCUCUCCCAAACCUUGCUUACAUUGAUCUUAGCAUGAACAGUUUCUCUGGAUCUAUCCCUCCUCAAUUCAGAAACAUCUCCAAGCUAAUCUACUUUAACCUCUCCACAAACUACUUAACCGGAUCGAUUCCAUUUGAGAUCGGUCUCUUAACCUCAGUUCAAGAUAUCGACUUGUCUAACAAUUCCCUAUCUGGACCAAUACCCUCUUCCAUUGGAAAUCUAAACAACUUGGUAAAACUGCACCUCUUUUCCAAUUCUUUCUCGGGUCCACUUCCUUCUGAGAUUGGAAACUUACCCAACCUUGUUGUUCUAGGUCUUAGUAGAAACAACCUGUCUAAGUCAAUACCCUCUUCCAUUGGAAAUCUCACCAAUUUGGUAAAGGUUUAUCUUCAUACCAAUUCUUUCUCGGGUCCACUUCCUUUUGAGAUUGGAAACUUACCCAACCUUGUUAAGCUAGAUCUUAGUACAAACAACCUGACUGGACCAAUACCCUCCUCCAUUGGAAAUCUAACCAACUUGGUAAAACUGCACCUCUUUUCCAAUUCUUUCUCGGGUACACUUCCUUACGAGAUUGGAAACUUACCCAAACUUGUUGAGAUAGGUCUUUACAGAAACAACCUGUCUGGACCAAUACCCUCUUCCAUUGGAAAUCUAACCAACUUAGUAAAAUUGUACCUCUAUACCAAUUCAUUCUCGGGUUCAAUUCCUUCUUCCUUAGGAAACCUGAAGAACUUAACAGGUCUUUAUCUUGAUAUGAAUUAUCUAAGUGGUUUCAUUCCCGUGGAACUAGGAAACAUGGAAUCCAUGAUUCAGUUGGCGAUAAGUCAGAACAAUCUUAUAGGUUAUGUUCCUAAUUCCUUUGGAAACUUUACCAACCUGGAAUUGUUGUGCCUUAGUGAUAACCACCUCUCUGGUCUUAUUCCACUAGGAGUAUCAAACUCUUCAAAGUUGACUAUCUUGCAACUCGGUAGAAACAACUUCACUGGUUUCUUGCCUGGAAACAUUUGUGAAGGUGGGAAGCUUCAAUAUCUCUCAUUAGAUGAUAAUCACCUCGAAGGUCCUAUACCAAAAAGUUUGAAAAAUUGUCAGAGCUUGAUUAGAGCAAGAUUCAUAGGGAACAUAUUCAUUGGAGAUAUUUCUGAAGCUUUUGGUGUUUACCCACAUCUUGAUUUCAUUGAUCUUAGUCACAACAAAUUCCAUGGUGAGAUUUCAGGCAACUGGGAGAAGAGUCGAAAACUAGGUGCCUUGAUCAUGUCAAACAACAACAUCACAGGUGUUAUCCCACCAGAGACUUGGAACAUGACACAACUAGUUGAGUUGGAUCUGUCUACCAACAACCUAAUUGGUGAGCUUCCAGAAUCAAUUGGAAAACUCACAGGUUUGUCAAAGCUACUACUUAAUGGGAAUCAGCUAUCUGGAAGAGUUCCCGCAAGGUUGAGUGUCUUAACCAUGCUUGAGUAUCUGGACUUAUCUUCAAACAAUUUUAGUCAGAUCCCACAAACCUUUGAUUCAUUUUUAAAGCUUCAUGACAUGAACCUGAGCAGGAACAUGUUCAACGGAUGCAUUCCCCGACUAACAAAACUUACUCAGUUAAAUCAUCUUGAUCUCAGCUACAACCAGCUAGAUGGAGAAAUCCCAUCACAACUCAGCUCCUUACAGAGCCUUAACAAGCUCGACCUGUCACACAACAAUCUUUCCGGUAUCAUUCCCACAAGUUUUCAGGGCAUGAAAGGGCUGACAUAUAUCGAUAUAUCAAACAAUAAACUCGAGGGUCUGCUACCAGAAAAUCCCGCGUUUGAAAACGCAACAGCAGAUUCACUGGAGGGAAACAUAGGCUUAUGCAGUAAUAUUCCUAGACAAAGGUUGAAAUCAUGCCCUAUCACUUCCCCCGGGUUCAAGAAAAAGAAGAAUGGCAACCUUAUUGUUUGGAUACUAGUGUCGAUCCUAGGGGCACUCGUCAUUCUCUCUAUAUGUGCAGGUAUAUUUACCUACUACCUUCGAAAACGAAAAAAACACAUUGGAAAUAACAACUCAUAUGCUGAUAGUGGACAGACUCUGUCCAUCUUUUGCUACGAUGGCAAAGUCAAAUACCAAGAUAUCAUCCAAUCCACAAAUGAAUUUGAUCCAAAAUACGUGAUCGGAAUCGGAGGAUACGGCAAAGUCUACAAAGCAAACCUCCCAGGCGCAACCGUAGCAGUGAAAAAGCUACACCAAACAAUGAACGAAGAGAUAUCAAAGCCAGUGGUGAAGUAAGAGUUCCUAAACGAAGUAAGAGCGUUAACAGAGAUCCGUCACCGCAACGUCGUGAAGCUCUUCGGCUUCUGCUCCCACCGCCGCCACACAUUUCUGAUCUACGAGUACAUGGAAAAAGGAAGUUUAAACAAACUGUUAGCUGACGACAAAGAAGCUAAGCAACUCAACUGGACCAAAAGGAUAAGCAUCAUCAAAGGUGUUGCAAACGCGUUAUCGUAUAUGCACCAUGACCGAACUACUCCAAUCGUCCACCGUGAUAUUAGUAGCGGCAAUAUCCUUCUCGAUAACGAUUACAAAGCUAAGAUCUCCGAUUUCGGUACAGCGAAGCUUCUCAAGAUGGAUUCCUCAAAUUGGUCCGCCGUCGCCGGAACCUACGGCUACGUCGCUCCAGGUAAAUCUAAAUCAACGAUAAUUGAAAAUUGAAAUUGAGCUCAUGAAACUGAAAAUUCUCAACAGAAUUGGCUUACGCGAUGAAGGUGACGGAGAAAUGCGAUGUGUAUAGCUUUGGAGUAUUGACGCUGGAAGUGAUAAAAGGGAAACAUCCGGGAGAUUUGGUUUCGGCUUUGUCAUCUUCGUCUCCGGGAGAAACUCCGUCGUUGAGAAGCAUUUCCGAUGAGCGUUUAGGAGAACCAGAGGCGGAGAUUAGAGAGAAGCUUGUGAAGAUGAUGGAAGUGGCGUUGUCGUGCUUACAAGCAGAUCCAAUGUCUCGG